UACGUAGGGUGCAAGCGUUGUCCGGAAUUAUUGGGCGUAAAGAGCUCGUAGGCGGUUUGUCGCGUCUGCUGUGAAAACUCAGGGCUUAACCCUGAGCUUGCAGUGGGUACGGGCAGACUAGAGUGGCGGUAGGGGAGACUGGAAUUCCUGGUGUAGCGGUGAAAUGCGCAGAUAUCAGGAGGAACACCCCGUGGCGGAAAGCGGCUCUCUGG
rnacentral:rRNA from 1 species